rnacentral:rRNA from 1 species
UACGGGGGGGGCUAGCGUUGUUCGGAAUUACUGGGCGUAAAGGGCGCGUAGGCGGCCUACUAAGUCGGACGUGAAAUCCCUCGGCUCAACCGGGGAACUGCGUCCGAUACUGGUGGGCUCGAAUCCGGGAGAGGGAUGUGGAAUUCCAGGUGUAGCGGUGAAAUGCGCAGAUAUCAGGAGGAACACCGGUGGUGUAGACGGCUUACUGGACCACGACUGACACUGAGGCACGAAAGCGUGGGUAGCAAACAGG